rnacentral:rRNA from 1 species
CAGGACGAACGCUGGCGGCGUGCUUAACACAUGCAAGUCGAACGAUGAAGCCGGAGCUUGCUCCGGUGGAUUAGUGGCGAACGGGUGAGUAACACGUGAGCAAUCUGCCCUUGACUCUGGGAUAACUGCGGGAAACUGUAGCUAAUACCGGAUACGACACCUUGGGGCAUCCCAGGGUGUGGAAAGAAUUUCGGUCAAGGAUGAGCUCGCGGCCUAUCAGCUAGUUGGUGAGGUAAUGGCUCACCAAGGCGACGACGGGUAGCCGGCCUGAGAGGGUGACCGGCCACACUGGAACUGAGACACGGUCCAGACUCCUACGGGAGGCAGCAGUGGGGAAUAUUGCACAAUGGACGAAAGUCUGAUGCAGCAACGCCGCGUGAGGGAUGAAGGCCUUCGGGUUGUAAACCUCUUUUAGCAGGGAAGAAGCGAAAGUGACGGUACCUGCAGAAAAAGCACCGGCUAACUACGUG